GCCCUUUUCCGGUUGAUCCUGCCGGAGGCCAUUGCUAUCAGGGUUUGACUAAGCCAUGCGAGUCGAGAGGUGUAAGACCUCGGCAUACUGCUCAGUAACACGUGGUUAACCUGCCCUAAGGUGGAGCAUACUCCCGGGAAACUGGGGCUAAUCCUCCAUAGUGGAUGUAUCCUGGAAUGGUAUAUCCUCGAAAGAUCCGUCGCCUUAGGAUGGGACUGCGUCCGAUUAGGUUGUUGGCGGGGUAACGGCCCACCAAGCCAUUGAUCGGUACGGGUUGUGGGAGCAAGAUCCCGGAGAUGGAUUCUGAGACAUGAAUCCAGGCCCUACGGGGCGCAGCAGGCGCGCAAACUUUACAAUGCGAGCAAUCGUGAUAAGGAAACCCUGAGUGCCUGUCGAUGCAGGCUGUUCAUAUAUCUAAAUCGUAUGUGAAGAAAGGGCAGGGCAAGACCGGUGCCAGCCGCCGCGGUAAUACCGGCUGCUCGAGUGAUGGCCACUAUUACUGGGUUUAAAGCGUCCGUAGCUUGACUGU
rnacentral:rRNA from 1 species